rnacentral:rRNA from 1 species
GACGAACGCUGGCGGCGUGCUUAACACAUGCAAGUCGAGCGGGGCUAUGUAAUAUCGCAAGGUAGAACAUAGCCUAGCGGCGAACGGGUGAGUAACACGUGGGUAACCUGCCUGGAAGACAGGGAUAACGAUUCGAAAGGGUCGCUAAUACCUGAUAAUAUCCUUUCAUCGCAUGGUGAUAGGAAGAAAGGGGAGACCCGCUAUGAGAUGAGCCCGCGUCCCAUUAGCUAGUUGGUGGGGUAAAGGCCUACCAAGGCGACGAUGGGUAGCCGGCCUGAGAGGGUGGACGGCCACACUGGGACUGAGACACGGCCCAGACUCCUACGGGGGGCAGCAGUAGGGAAUCUUCGGCAAUGGGCGGAAGCCUGACCGAGCGACGCCGCGUGAGGGACGAAGGCCUUCGGGUUGUAAACCUCUGUCUGGGGGACGGAGUAAGGACGGUACCUCGGAGGAAGCCCGGCUAACUACGUG